rnacentral:lncRNA from 1 species
AUGGAUCCCCCCCUCCAAAAAAAAGGAGCCACGGGGGGGGAUCCGGAGUCUCAUGGGGUUCCGGACUGGAGGAGGAUCCUACUGAGUCUCUCUCACGGGGAGAUCCAAGGAGGGGGGAGGAUCCACAGCAGUCCCUCACAGGAGGAGGAUCCAGCAGCCUCUCUCGCAAGGACCCAGCGAAGCGAUCCCGCAGUCUCUCUCGCAGGAGGAGGAUCCAGCAGUCUCUCCCGCAGGAAGGAGUCUUUUAUCCUGACUGAAGUAAAGCAGAGCUGGAGUCAGUCCACAAAAAGCUGAACUUGCUGUAAAAACCAGUCUGACCUUUUUGACAUGGAUAGUUAUAACAGCUCCACUAAAACAAGAAUCCCAAAGGACAAUAUUUCUUCUGAAACAAGCGGUAGCGAGACGAACGUCUUCCAGCAUCCCUCUAACUAUCAAAACAAAGGUGAAAGAACUUUGCAAAUACUUGUAAGAAAAAAAGAGACCCAAGUCCUCAGGCCAGGCCCUACCCCCUUACUUCCUCUGCAAGCCAGCAUCAGCCAAACACCUUUUCACUGCAACAAGCAAUAGCCCUUGGUGGGGUUUCACAGCAGAGCUCUCUAAAUGACACAUUUGACCUCAAAUGCUAGCAAUGCGACGUGUCAGCAUACAUCUGACUUCAGUCUCCUCCUUUUUUGGUAGGGGAGACUUCUUUAUACCGCCAUAUACAGCCAUCGCUCCAACACCUCACGUUCACGGGAGCUCUACUCUAGAACAAAAUGGCAAAGGCUUAUGACUGCAGCUCGUUUCUAAGCAAUGGCUAAGCCCUCGACCUCAACGUCCAGUGCAGACAUCAGUUAUUAUAGCCAAAUAAUCUGGGUGAUGCAAAAAAUAAUGUUCUUGAACAUUUUUCAGAGACUAGGUGACGGGUCCUACGCUAAAAGGGUUUGUCCCAAUAUUCUGGCUAACCCUCAGAGGAAUAAUUUGACCUCCCUAAAAUGUCUCUGCGUUUUCAACUGGCCAUAACAUCCACUUCUUUCUUUCUUUGAUUAUACCGUGACUAGUAACUGCUGUCCUCUAUCCCAUUAGCCGCAAAGAACAUUUUGAAGACGAGUAAUCUCAAUAUACUGUACAUUUAUUGAAUGCAUCGGGAUAUUUAGGUGAAAAUACUCUAAUGCCACAGUGGCGAUUAUUUCUGCAAACACUUAUCAGAUAUCCUAUCAAUAUUUUGGGCUAGAUUGUACCUAGAGCAGCUCCUGUAUUCCUGACAGAGCUGAUAUGACUUAUCCCCAGGGUGAGGAGGUGGGAGAGGAAGAAUUGCUUGUGACAGAUACUAGUCAUCUUGCUUAAUGAAAUUUUGCAAGGUGUUCAGAGAUGGCAGGAUGGGGUCAUACCAGGAGAGGAAGGGAAGGUCACCAAGCUGGAAGCCGCAGUCCUGAGUCAAGACCUGGCUUCUCUUUGGAGCCUGUCACUCUGCUCCUUAACUGGCUAGUGGAAUCACUCGUAUUGUGAAGAAUUUAUUGACACCCACCCACCAUCCCUAAAGUUUUAUGGCAAUAUAGAUCCAUUAGAAAUCCAUUUUACAGAGGUAUUAAAAUAAUGAAGGUGAGAAUUAAGAGAGCAGCCCGCUCCUUUGAAAACCCACUGAUCAUAAUAUACUGCUUUAAAGAAAGUUAUCACGCAGCCCCCUUAAAGAAAGUUAUCAAUUAGUCACUGUAUCAGACAUAGGAGAAUUGUUCCCUGAAGAGGAUUUUAGGAGGAAAGCCAUUGACUAAGUGAUAAAUUCAUCACUAGGGGUUGCAUGGCUCCAUGGUUAAGAUGAUGUGGUGUAGAGGAUUCAGAAUACAGAGUGAGAUAGCCUGCUAACUCCUGAAAUGGUCAGGGAGACUCUGCACUGUGAAGGCAUCCAUGCGGGGCAAAAGCAUCAAUGUGGGGUGAAAUAAAGUGCAGCAAAGGCCCCCA